GGCAGCGCCGCGGUCACCGACAGCCCAGAAGGACCCCAAGGAGCAGCGGGCAUUGCCUGGAAUGGAGGCACGGACCGUUUGCAGAGGGGCUCAGACAGCAGUUCCCGUUUCUGACCUCCCAGAGCUCCUACACAGCUCCCAGAUAUUGAAUCUCAAGCAGUAUACCUGGGAGAUGCCUCAAAAUCAGAGGUUCAAGCGGGAUGAAGUUUGGAACUUCCCAGGGAGUCAGCUGAAGCGCAGAAGUGAAGGAAAACUUUUGCAGUGAGAAGAACAUGAACUCACAGCCACCGAGGCCUGACGGGUUCCUGCAGUGAGAGCUCAGCGCACGUCCACAGAGAGAGAGAGGGGAGAUGUGGGAAUUGGAAAACCAGAAACUUCCAGAGACACCAAAUGAUUUGAUCUGCAGUCUGGGAAGAAGCUUGGAUUGAUGUAAAAAUACAAUACACAGGCAUUAACAGAAAAAUAAUACAUAAAAUAAUUAUGUUUGUGUGGUUGUAAGAAAGAGCAUGCCUUAAGUAAGUGAGGAACUGUGAAGGUGAGGUGGUGAAGGGUUUAUAAUGUGAGGGUGGGGUUGUAAGUAAACAGAGUUUAGAAUUAGAAGCAUCUGUGUGCAAGUGAGACAAGCCUAUUGAGCAAAAGUGUGCACAGUGCAGCAGAAUUAAGUAAAGGUCAUAGGUUAGAAAAGCAAAAUAAACCCUGUGGCAGCUGUCUGUGGGUUAGAAAGUUAUAAAUUGCCUUGUAAUGAAGAAACUCUUGAACUGUAGCAAACUACUUACUCUUGUAAAGUCUCCUGGCCUCUGAGGCUGAUGUUCAUCUGAGCAAUAAACCCUUCUCACCCAGAGCCAGGGCACUGAGGCUGAUGUUGGUGUGAGCAAUAAACCCUUCUCACCCAGAGCCAGGGCACUGAGGCUGAUGUUGGUGUGAGCAAUAAACCCUUCUCACCCACAGCCAGUGCCAUGCCCUGGUUGCUGACAAUGGUGGCUCUGGGCAGGGCUGUCUCUGUGUCUCUGCCAGAACACAGGGCUGGGGCUGUGUCACAGACAUCUUUUAGGAAAAAUCCUUUCCUUAGAAUUUUUCCUCCUGAGAAGCUGAGAGGCCUCAGGAACAAAAUGCAAACAAUGGUUAUCUGCUGCUGUGGGAUGCAACAGGAGCGUCUGUGAUUGGUCUCAUGUGGUUGUUUCUAAUUAAUGGCCAAUCACACUCAGCUGGCUCACACUCUCUGUGCCAGCCACAAGCCUUUGUUAUUCAUUCCUUCCUUUUCUACUCUUAGCUGGCCUGCUGAUGAGAUCCUUUCUUCUAUUCUUUCAGUAUAGUUUAAUGUGAUACAUACCAUAAAAUAAUAAAUCAGCCCUGUGACCCAUGGAGUCGGAUCCUGGUCCCUUCCCUCACCCUGGCCCCUGUGAGCAGUCCCAGGCUGGGCUGGCAGCAAUGGCAUCCCCAGGCAGUGAAUGCAGCCCAGAGGACAAGAGGAGCCCUGUGUGCCCCUGACUCACCCACAGCAGGGCAGGGCCUGAGCCCUCCAGGGCAGAGCCUGUGCUGGGGCCUCUUGCCUGGGGCUGCUCAAACACCAAAGCUUUUGGCAAAGGUGGCAGGAGGUUGGUGAUUUGUCCUGGCCUGAAAGAGAGGAGGAAAAGAAAAUUAUUGCACUGUGGAAGUCAAAGGAUCCAGCUUUCACACUUCUGCUCUGAGGGCUCACUAUGGGGUUUUAUCCAUGAGAGGUGACACCAAUUCAAACAUAUCAGUGCCCUUUGCCAGCAUUUCUAUUCCUAACCAUUUCAGACAUUAAAAGGAAGCUCAUUUUUCUUAUUGCAA